CGGUUUACCGGUUUUUCGUUUUUUUUCGGUUUUAUUUUCAAACCGGUUUUUUCGGUUUAGCUUUUACAAAAACCGGAAAACCGUCAUUACGUAAUUGUUUACUGUCAUCGCCUGAAACUCGAUCUUAAUUCUCAAAACAUGACACCAAUUAAACUCAAUUACGUGACACUAGAUACAAUAUUCUUUUUCCAUAAAGUCGGUAAAAACCGAAGUGAUACAAGUUUUCAAAUGCGUUCUUGACCCUUUUAUUUUAAAACUGAAGUCGUUUUAGGUUACCUUUGCACAAUUUUGCGUUUUGUCAUGUACUGUUCGUUUGCUUAUGACAGAAAAAUACCACAAUUCCUCCUCAUACAGUUGAAAUACAAAUUAAAGGGAAAAAAACGGUUUUUCGGUUUUACCGGUUUAGAAUCAGACGGUUUUUCGGUUUUGAUUUUAAGCAAAACCGCCCAAGCC